rnacentral:rRNA from 1 species
UACGGAGGGUGCAAGCGUUAUCCGGAUUCACUGGGUUUAAAGGGUGCGUAGGUGGGUUAUUAAGUCAGUGGUGAAAUCUCCGGGCUCAACCCGGAAACUGCCAUUGAUACUAAUAGUCUUGAAUAUCGUGGAGGUAAGCGGAAUAUGUCAUGUAGCGGUGAAAUGCUUAGAUAUGACAUAGAACACCAAUUGCGAAGGCAGCUUACUACCCGAAUAUUGACACUGAGGCACGAAAGCGUGGGGAUCAAACAGG